UGAGUAAAAGUCAAAGAGAGACAAAUUAUUGUUAAUAAUUUAAUUGAAAUUAAAUUUCUUACCCAA
rnacentral:tRNA from 1 species